rnacentral:tRNA from 1 species
AUCCGAAAUUCAAUAUAGGUGGAUACAUACCCUAUACAUCUGUCUCGCUUCCACUCAUUUACCGAUGAAAUUUCGAAUACUUGAACGGUCGACUCAAAAAAAAGAAUAUUUCAUUGUGAUAAAAAAAAAUUGAAAUUAUAUAUUAUAUAUCGCUAGAUUAAUUGUUAUGUUCUAUAAUAUUUAACAGUUAUUUGAAAUUCUAUAUUAUAUUCUUUAAUAUAUUCAUAUUAAUUAUGAAUAGCGAAUAUGAAUAGCUUAAUAGUUAAUAGCAAAGAUUCUAAGAGUUUAUUGAAUUCCUAUGCAUGUCGAAUUUAUGUUAUGUGAGCCUGCUUAGCUCAGAGGUUAGAGCAUCGCAUUUGUAAUG